UUGAUUCUGGCUCAGGAUGAACGCUAGCGGCAGGCCUAACACAUGCAAGUCGAGGGGCAUCACGAGGUAGCAAUACUUUGGUGGCGACCGGCACACGGGUGCGUAACGCGUAUGUAACCUACCUAUAACAGGGGCAUAACACUGAGAAAUUGGUACUAAUUCCCCAUAGUAUUCGGAGAGGCAUCUCUCCGGGUUGAAAACUCCGGUGGUUAUAGAUGGACAUGCGUUGUAUUAGCUAGUUGGUGAGGUAACGGCUCACCAAGGCAACGAUACAUAGGGGGACUGAGAGGUUAACCCCCCACACUGGUACUGAGACACGGACCAGACUCCUACGGGAGGCAGCAGUGAGGAAUAUUGGUCAAUGGACGCAAGUCUGAACCAGCCAUGCCGCGUGCAGGAAGACGGCUCUAUGAGUUGUAAACUGCUUUUGUACGAGGGUAAACUCACCUACGUGUAGGUGACUGAAAGUAUCGUACGAAUAAGGAUCGGCUAACUCCGUGCCAGCAGCCGCGGUAAUACGGAGGAUUCAAGCGUUAUCCGGAUUUAUUGGGUUUAAAGGGUGCGUAGGCGGUUUGAUAAGUUAGAGGUGAAAUCCCGGGGCUUAACUCCGGAACUGCCUCUAAUACUGUUAGACUAGAGAGUAGUUGCGGUAGGCG
rnacentral:rRNA from 1 species